GGGGGGAUAGUGCCAUAGAGAGCGGGGGAUGGGCAACAGUGUUAUCCAGCAUCUCCCUCAGGGAGGAAUGUUCCAGUGUUCAGCUGCUGUCUCCUUAUUUUAAGGACACUACGUGGUAUCAUCACUUAGCUAGUAUCCUCGCUCAGUGUACUACAGGUAUAUAGUACUAAAGGGGGUAGCAUACCUGAGAAUGACUGCCUUACUUCCUGAAGUCUAUGCAUGUCUAUGAAUGGUCAGUUUUAUAAUGCCACGUAUUGUGUGCACUUUGAGACACAUAGGCUGAUGUGGAGUCUGGGAUACUGAUGGGAAAAUGGCAGGAAUGCUGCAUGAUGGGAAUCGUAGUUUGUUUGUGAUUGUUUAAACCCUGAAGGGCAAUGUGAUCUGAUGAAUGUCUUUUAGAGUGGUGCUCUAUUUUCACUUUCUGAUAAACACACACGCACACACAUAUGCACACACACACAUAUACACACAUAAAGUGUUUGCUUGUGUACAAUGCCAAAUGAUAUCAUGAAGUUGAGGUACAUACUUCUCAAAGUGCAUAGUGCAAAGAAUGAAUGGUUAAGCCUAACUCAUACACACAAACACAUUUCCCAUGACAUUAUUCUAUCAUUCUACCCAUUUCAAAAUGCUGCCAGCUUUUCCCAGCAGUCCAUUUCUCUGUCCUACCUACACACACACACACUCACACACACACACACACACACUCACAGUCUCUCAUUUGCACAUUCACACACACACACACACACACACACACAAACACUCACACACACACACACAGAGAAAUGCUUACACACAAGCCUCAUGUGCAGUCAUAUACUGCAUACUUCAGAUCUGUUCUGUAACAUGUCCAUGCUAAUCACAUCAAUGCCAGACCACCCAGACACCAUAGAGUAUAGAGCUUAACAUUUACAGGAAGUCAGACCACCCAGACACCAUAGAGUAUAGAGCUUAACAUUUACAGGAAGUCAGACCACCCAGACAAAAGACACCAUAGAUAGAGUAUAGAGCUUUACAUUUAUAGAAUGGUGAUGUAGUGCUUCAUAGAAAGGAGAUGAAUUGCACUGUGGGAUUACACUUUGCCAGUGUUGUGGGUCGCUUGUAGUGCCAAGCGGCUGAUUCACAGUGUUUAGAGAAUAAUUUCACUAAUUAAUUUGCACUUAAUGACUUUUAAAAGACUAUUGUUUAUUUUUAUUUUUAAUAUAUACCCUGAUUCUACUGUUUUCUCUUGUGUACGGUUCAGCUGGAAUGGGUUUUGGGAGAUUUGUUGCCUUAUCUACAUGUUGCCUCUAGGGGGCAGUGUAACACAGUUAUUCAGUGGCCUGAAAUUGUGGUGAGCUCUCAGCGAAGUGUGGGUGUGAGCGUGCGUGUGUGUGUGUGUGUGUGUGUGUGUGUGUGUGUGUGUGUGUGUGUGUGUGUGUGCCCCUUGAAUGACUUUUAUGCACCUGAGUAUGAGUGGUGUUCUUUCUACUUGAGAGUUAUUGACCAUCUGAUCCACAGGGGCGGCAUGCACUCACCUCUAAUAUAUACAGAGGCAUGGGUGUGUGUGUGUGUGUGUGUGUGUGUGUGUGUGUGUGUGUGUGUGUGUGUG
ensembl:lncRNA